rnacentral:rRNA from 1 species
UACAGAGGUCUCAAGCGUUUGUUCGGGAUUCAUUGGGGCGUUAAAGGGGUGCGUAGGCGGGCGCGGUAAGUCGGGGUGUGAAAUCUCGGAGCUUAACUCCGAAACUGCAUUCGAUACUGCCGUGCUUUGAGGACUGGAGAGGAGACUGGAAUUUACGGUGUAGCGGUGAAAUGCGCAGAUAUCAGGAGGAACACCGAUGGCGGAAGGCGGGUUGCUGGGCUGACACUGAC